rnacentral:rRNA from 1 species
CAGUAGGGAGGAAGGUAGUGUAGUUAACACCUGCAUUAUUUGACGUUACCUACAGAAGAAGCACCGGCUAACUCCGUGCCAGCAGCCGCGGUAAUACGGAGGGUGCGAGCGUUAAUCGGAAUUACUGGGCGUAAAGCGCAUGCAGGCGGCCUGUUAAGUCAGAUGUGAAAGACCCGGGGCGUUAACCUCGGAAUUGCAUUUGUAAACUAGGCAGGCUAGAGUCUUGUAGAGGGGGGUAGGAAGUUUCUAGGUGUAGCGGUGAAAUAGCGUAGAGAUCUGAAGGAAUACCAGUGGCGAAGGCGGCCCCCUCGGACAAAGACUGACGCUCAGAUGCGAAAGCGUGGGGAGCAAACAGGAUUAGAUACCCUGGUAG